rnacentral:rRNA from 1 species
CAGCCGCCGCGGUAAUACGUAGGUGGCAAGUGUUGUCCGGAAUUAUUGGGCGUAAAGGGCUCGCAGGCGGUUUCUUAAGUCUGAUGUGAAAGCCCCCGGCUCAACCGGGGAGGGUCAUUGGAAACUGGGAAACUUGAGUGCAGAAGAGGAGAGUGGAAUUCCACGUGUAGCGGUGAAAUGCGUAGAGAUGUGGAGGAACACCAGUGGCGAAGGCGACUCUCUGGUCUGUAACUGACGCUGAGGAGCGAAAGCGUGGGGAGCGAACAGGAUUAGAUACCCGUGUAGUCCCUGUCUCUUAUAC